rnacentral:rRNA from 1 species
AUUGAACGCUGGCGGCAUGCCUUACACAUGCAAGUCGAACGGCAGCACGGGAGCAAUCCUGGUGGCGAGUGGCGAACGGGUGAGUAAUAUAUCGGAACGUGCCCAGUCGUGGGGGAUAACGUAGCGAAAGCUACGCUAAUACCGCAUACGAUCUAUGGAUGAAAGCGGGGGAUCGCAAGACCUCGCGCGAUUGGAGCGGCCGAUAUCAGAUUAGGUAGUUGGUGGGGUAAAAGCCCACCAAGCCGACGAUCUGUAGCUGGUCUGAGAGGACGACCAGCCACACUGGGACUGAGACACGGCCCAGACUCCUACGGGAGGCAGCAGUGGGGAAGUUUGGACAAUGGGCGGAAGCCUGAUCCAGCCAUGCCGCGUGAGUGAAGAAGGCCUUCGGG